GGGGAUGUGGCUCAAGCGGUAGCGCGUGCGCCUGGCAUGCGCAGGUCACUGGGUUCGAUCCUCAGCACCACG
rnacentral:tRNA from 1 species